rnacentral:rRNA from 1 species
GGGGAAUAUUGCACAAUGGGGGAAACCCUGAUGCAGCGACGCCGCGUGGAGGAAGAAGGUCUUCGGAUUGUAAACUCCUGUUGUUGGGGAAGAUAAUGACGGUACCCAACAAGGAAGUGACGGCUAACUACGUGCCAGCAGCCGCGGUAAAACGUAGGUCACAAGCGUUGUCCGGAAUUACUGGGUGUAAAGGGAGCGCAGGCGGGAAGACAAGUUGGAAGUGAAAUCUAUGGGCUCAACCCAUAAACUGCUUUCAAAACUGUUUUUCUUGAGUAGUGCAGAGGUAGGCGGAAUUCCCGGUGUAGCGGUGGAAUGCGUAGAUAUCGGGAGGAACACCAGUGGCGAAGGCGGUUUACUGGGCACCAACUGACGCUGAGGCUCGAAAGCAUGGGUAGCAAACAGGAUUAGAUACCCUGGUAGUCCAUGCCGUAAACGAUGAUUACUAGGUGUUGGGGGAUUGACCCCCUCAGUGCCGCAGUUAACACAAUAAGUAAUCCACCUGGGGAGUACGACCGCAAGGUUGAAACUCAAAGGAAUUGACGGGGGCCCGCACAAGCAGUGGAGUAUGUGGUUUAAUUCGAAGCAACGCGAAGAACCUUACCAGGUCUUGACAUCCGAUGCAUAACACAGAGAUGUGUGAAAUCCUUCGGGACAUCGAGACAGGUGGUGCAUGGUUGUCGUCAGCUCGUGUCGUGAGAUGUUGGGUUAAGUCCCGCAACGAGCGCAACCCUUAUUGCCAGUUACUACGUUAAGAGGACUCUGGCGAGACUGCCGUUGACAAAACGGAGGAAGGUGGGGAUGACGUCAAAUCAUCAUGCCCUUUAUGACCUGGGCUACACACGUACUACAAUGGCGUUAAACAAAGAGAAGCAAGACCGCGAGGUGGAGCAAAACUCAAAAACAACGUCUCAGUUCAGAUUGCAGGCUGCAACUCGCCUGCAUGAAGUCGGAAUUGCUAGUAAUCGCGGAUCAGCAUGCCGCGGUGAAUACGUUCCCG